UGUUUCCGUAUUAGCAGCUAUGGAACCUAGUUAAUUCACUAGGAGUUUUAUGGUUAAGUGUUUGGACAGGCAGUCCCAUUCCAAUUGUAGACCUCGCGUAGUGGUAGAGCGCCCCUAGGGGGGUCGAUGACUUCGCGUAGUGGUAGAGCACCCCCUAGAGGUAGUGGUGGAUCGCCUCUAGGAGGUCGACGACCUCGCGUCGAAGUGCUGUGAUCCAUCUUGCUUGUCGUCGAGGGCGGUUUCCUCUAUUAACCUAUAUUAGAUUCCAAGAGAUACAUAUUCCUUCACGUCCUAGCCUUGAUAAUAUGGGACAAAAAUUCACAUCAAUAACAAAUGAGUUCGUUUAUGAUUGCAUAUUCUGGACAAGUAGGAAUUUCAAAUCAUCAACCCUGCCAUCAAAUAAUUAUGAAAGAUAGUUGGUCAUGAUAAGUGCAGUAUAUUGCCUUUCUAGGGAAGGAAUGGUGGCCCAUGUUUUUUAUGUGUCUGUUGUAUUACGUAACCAUUGCACAUAUAGCCUACCUUUGGUGCACUGGAUUAAGCCGUAUAAUUAAUUUAGUCUAAACAGAUAUUACCAGAUAGAUGGUAUUAUGGUAAAUUAAGGUGGAUAGUAUUCUUUAUUUUUCAUUCAAAAGAUAGGCACUAUCAACCUUAUAGCAUAAUGAGGAGGUUGGAGGUGGGUAUAGCCAGUUAAAAAUUGAGAUAGUAAGUGAAAUUCUUUUAAAUGAAGAUAGAAAGAGUAUUAUCCACCAUAAGACCCUCUACCUAGUCAUAUUUAUUAUAAUUUAUACUGCAUUUUUUAUGCGGUGCACCGAACGUUACCACAGUGUAUAUGACGGCUAAACUCGUGAUGAAAUCAGCAUGCUGCCCCAAUAUUUAGUGACCAUCAUAUUAUUGCAUUCUGCAAGAGUCCUCAAGAGUGGUAGUAUAGAUCUCACAUUAGGUGAUUGAUUGGUUGAUAUGAGAUUAAAAAUGAGUGGCAAGACAAUAUUGACCUUCUCUACUAGUUCUGUUGCACCACCUCAUCUAAAACUUUGAUCUACUAGAAAAAUGUAAAUUUUGUCUUCAAAUUCCCCCUUACAUGCAGACUGGAUUUGUGGCACAUGCGCACUUUUCAUUAAUGGUUGACAACGAGACUUGAACGCUACCUUCGUUGGCUUUCCAUAAUGAUCUAUGUCUUCAACAAGUUCCUUCAGUAUUUCCUUUAUAUUGUAACACAGACAAGCAUGAUCGAGUUCCUAGAAUGCGCCGUUAUCUAGUAGCAACUGUGAUAAUGUCUAAUCAUGAAGCUGUUUGCAGGAAAAAGUUGCUAGUGAAUUUGGUGUGCCGGUGAAAUGUCAACGUUUUUGGCUUUGGGCAAAACACCAAAACCAUACACGUCGUCUUAAUGGGCCAUUGACACAUGUUGAGGAAGGCCAAACUAUUGGACAGUUGAAGGAAGCAUCUAACAAUACUUUUGAUGAAGUGCUGAAGUUGUUCUUAGAAGUAGAGCUUGGAUCGGAUCUACAUCCUAUUCCUCCACCUAACAAGACAGAAGAUGACAUUCUACUCUUUUUCAAGCUUUAUGAUCCCGAGAUUGAGGAGCUAAGGAUUGUGGGAAGACUUUUUGUGAAGUCCACUAGUAAGCCGACUGAUAUCUUUGCUAAACUAAAUGCAAUGGUUGGCUAUGCUCCCGAUGAAGAGAUUGAACUUUACGAGGAAAUGAAGUUUGGAGCUAAUGUUGCAUGUGAACGCAUAGAGCCGAAUUCAACAUUUCAAUCUACCAAGCUUGUGGAUGGGGACAUUGUUUGCUUUCAAAGAUGUCUUCCAUUUGGAUAUCAUCUGAACUAUCAAUAUCCGGAUGUUCAUUCAUUUCUGGAAUACAAAUCUAACUGCCUGGAAAAAUCACUUCCAAUACUUGAAUGUAA